rnacentral:rRNA from 1 species
UGGGGAAUAUUGGACAAUGGGCGCAAGCCUGAUCCAGCCAUGCCGCGUGGGUGAAGAAGGCCUUCGGGUUGUAAAGCCCUUUUGUCCGGAAAGAAAAGCUUUCGGUUAAUACCCGGAAGUCCUGACGGUACCGGAAGAAUAAGCACCGGCUAACUUCGUGCCAGCAGCCGCGGUAAUACGAAGGGUGCAAGCGUUACUCGGAAUUACUGGGCGUAAAGCGUGCGUAGGUGGUUCGUUAAGUCUGAUGUGAAAGCCCUGGGCUCAACCUGGGAAUUGCAUUGGAUACUGGCGGGCUAGAGUGCGGUAGAGGAUGGCGGAAUUCCCGGUGUAGCAGUGAAAUGCGUAGAGAUCGGGAGGAACAUCCGUGGCGAAGGCGGCCAUCUGGACCAGCACUGACACUGAGGCACGAAAGCGUGGGGAGCAAACAGG